ACUCCUACGGGAGGCAGCAGUGGGAAGUCUUGGACAAUGGGGGCAACCCUGAUCCAGCCAUGCCGCGUGAGUGAUGAAGGCCUUAGGGUCGUAAAGCUCUUUCGCCUGUGAUGAUAAUGACAGUAGCAGGUAAAGAAACCCCGGCUAACUCCGUGCCAGCAGCCGCGGUAAUACGGAGGGGUUAGCGUUGUUCGGAAUUACUGGGGCGUAAAGCGCGCGUAGGCGGAUUAGUCAGUUAGAGGUGAAAUCCCAGGGCUCAACCCUGGAACUGCCUUUAAUACUGCUAGUCUUGAGUUCGAGAGAGGUGAGUGGAAUUCCGAGUGUAGAGGUGAAAUUCGUAGAUAUUCGGAGGAACACCAGUGGCGAAGGCGGCUCACUGGCUCGAUACUGACGCUGAGGUGCGAAAGUGUGGGGAGCAAACAGGAUUAGAUACCCUGGUAGGCUAGCG
rnacentral:rRNA from 1 species